rnacentral:rRNA from 1 species
CCUACGGGAGGCUGCAGUGAGGAAUAUUGGUCAAUGGGCGGGAGCCUGAACCAGCCAAGUCGCGUGAGGGACGACGGUCCUAUGGAUUGUAAACCUCUUUUGUCGGGGAACAAAGGCGCCCACGGGUGGGCGGAUGAGUGUACCCGAAGAAUAAGCUCAGGCUAACUACGUGCCAGCAGCCGCGGUAAUACGUAGGGGGCGAGAGUUGUCCGGAUUUACUGGGUGUAAAGGGCGUGCAGCCGGGAGUACAAGUCAGAUGUGAAAGCCCGCGGCUCAACCGCGGAACUGCAUUUGAAACGGUAUUUCUUGAGUACUGGAGAGGCAGACGGAAUUCCUAGUGUAGCGGUGAAAUGCGUAGAUAUUAGGAGGAACACCAGUGGCGAAGGCGGUCUGCUGGACAGCAACUGACGGUGAGGCGCGAAAGCGUGGGGAGCAAACAGGAUUAGAUACCCGAGUAGUC